GCCAAGAAGAAUGGAUUUUGGAGCAUACUGUUAGCUAUCCUUCUUAUGCUGUAUCUGAGCAUCAAUGACUUGCUUUGAAGAUAUUGGACUUUGAGAUCUGAGGAAGUUUGAUGCUUAUAAGGAGACUUGUGUCUUCAUAUCAUUAUGUUGUGAAUCUUUUACUAGACAAUUAGAGGUAAUUGUUGCCGUCAAAGUUCGCUCCAUCUGAAACUUGUGGACCCAGUGAUAGGUGGAGGUAUUACAUCACUGGCAUUGAUUGUAUUCUUCCUACAACUGUAUUAACAGCAGGUAUGGCAGAGAGUUUCCACUUGUGGGGGGAGUUAUUAUGAGUUAGUUAAUGAUGUACAGUUCUGGAAGUGCAGCAUACACAUGAAAUGUGACCAAAGAUAUGGUUCAAUGUGAGGAUAUAUCUUCAAGUAACUUUCAACAUUGGCGAGUUUGAUUUUUUCAAGCCCAAUAACUGGCUGAAGUACAGAAGCUUAAGAUUUGGAGGUGGUAAUGGUUGGUUUGCACUGUUUAAAGUAACACAAACUACUGGAUGGUUUAUAAGUGAAACGGAGCAUACACUUUUUUGGGUGUCUUUGUGCUCCAAAUUUUGGGCUAUGUGACCAGUAUCAGUUAGAAAAAAAGACAGGACUAUAAGUCAGGUAUGCAGCAGACAUGGCAUUAAGAUGAACUAUAAGCCUGAUCGUACUCGCCACAAGAAAGAGAGCGUUUAUGAUAGGUUGUGAUUAUGGAAGAUCUGAUGGCAUGCCAUGAUUUUCAUGUGAAAGUGAAUCAGGCAAGUGGUUAUCAGGGGGAGUGGUACAUUGUUUUCUUGAAGAGUUCUUCAAGGGAGUUACUCAUACUAGUGGACCAUGGAUGUAGAUCUCUACCUCAGCCCAUGUACCCUUCUCCAAGAGCCUUACCUGUGAAUACUGUACAAGGGAAGUGACUCCUAGCUCCUAAGAUCUUGCGAAGUUAUUCUAACUUUUGCAGUGGACAUUCUUUAGGCACUGAAAUCUCUGUUUGAGAUGUGUAUUAAGAUUUUGACUCAUUAUGUAGCUUUUGUUGCAGGUUAGCUCAACGUUAGCACCAGAAGUUGCAGAGGAGGUAAUUUAUGUUUAGAGGCUUUUAACAGGUUCAUCUCUUCUUUCAUUGCCGAGUAGGCUACUGAAUCUCAACAUACAUUGAUAAAAGAGUGUUUUUUGAUCGAACUAUCGAUUUGUUGUUCUGGUAUUUCCUCUUAAUGGAAACAAUCAGCAUCUUGUGCAGCAAUAUUAAUAGCUUAUUUGAACAAAAAUAUUCUGUUCUGAUCUCCCCCCGGCCCCGUGGCAUAUGGAUGGUGUGGUUAACAUGUC